CAGUUUUUGAUCAACAGGGCUGAAUACAGUAAAAGAGAGAAAAUAAUUGGAUAAUACAGUUGGAGUGGGGAAUUGGCAAUGGAAAACAUUGGAGAGACAGAUAAUCAUUUUGGCUAAAGCGGUUUAUGACUUAGAGAUAGACCCAAAAAAAAAAAAAAAAGUGGAAAAAAGUGAAGGCAGAAACGGAGAAACUGUUGAGAAAAUGGAUGUUGGGGAAAGAACUGUCUCCCCAUGACCAGAUUUCCUUGGGACAGGCGUUAAAUGAUUUUACAGCUAGAGCAAUAAAGGAAUUAGACGAGGCUAAGGCAGAACAUGAAAAGGCAGGAAUGUUUAAGAAGGGAAAAGCCAGGAAGAGGUUAUCAGAUGCAGAACAGGAAAUAGUUAAGGUCAGAAGUUUGAAGUGCACAUAUAAUGGCAACCUGGAUAGAAUGGUAAGUAUCCCCAAGUAUCCCCACCCUCCUAUGAUAACCUAACGCCAGGCAUUUUGACACGGACACCUGAGCUAGAGCAGGCGUUGAUUGAACUAAAGCAGGAACUAGUGCAUGCGGCUGACCUUGCUAGACCAGACUACACCAUGAAAGGAGACAGGUUAUCUCACCAGUGCAGGCAAACCCAUAAAACACAAGGAAGAGUUCUUAGCACCAGAGAAAGCGAUACAACUACCAAAACAGGUUGCCAUCAUAAAGUGCAAGGGACAUCAGAAAGGGGACUCAUUGGUGGAAAGAGGUAAUGAGGCAGCAGACAAGGCAGCAAAGGAAGCAGCAGGUUAUAAAAGAACGAAGUUGGCAGAUGGUGUUGAAGGAAUGUGAACCAUGGGAACCAAUUCCGACAGGAGAAAAGCUCAGGCAAGUGCAGGACCAGGCUAGCCCAGAAGAAAAGACUAUGUGGCUGCAUAAAGGUGGUAGAAAGAGUGAAUUAGUCUGGGAAGGUCCCACUGGACUUUGGUAAAAGCAGGGCUGGGAGAAGCUCACGGGUUGGCACAAGUAGGAAAGGUACAGAUGAGGGAAAACUUGAAAGGAUGGUGGCAUCCAUUUCUAACCGCUAUGAUAGCCACACAUGUAAAAGAAUGUGAAGUAUGUAAUGUAAAUAAUGUGGCAAAAAACUGAUAUAAGUAAGAUAUCUGUAGAUUAGUCACUGUGUGAAAAUUGGCUUUGAGAAAUAGUCGGAUUUGGCUUGAUAAAAUUUGGGGAACACCCAGGGCCCAGGGAAUUUGGUAGAUAAAGUUAAUAAAGAAAAGUGAAUGAAGGCAAAAGCAUGCUAUAGUAAUGUAUGAAUGAGUCGACUUUAAGGAAAAUGCUGAGCUCGUUCUGUGUGUCUGUGCGUUGUGUGUGUGUGUGUGUGUGUGUACACGAAGCUGGACUUCAUCUGUGUGUCAGCCCCUCCUUUUCUGAGUAAGACGUGUGUGUGUGCAGAUAUGGGUCUGUGUGUGUGUCUGAGCGCCACCCCUCCCUCUUCUCUUUCUGGGGGUGAAGCGUUUAUGUUCUCUGACCUGCUGUGUGUCUAUAGAGUAACUUUAUGAGAGUUGAGGAUUGAUCAGGAAUGAUAUUUGCUUUAUUUAGUUAAAACUUAAGGAGCCUUUGUAGGGGACUUUGCUGAAAAAUUUAAAUAAAUAAAUAAAUAGAUUUAUGAGCGUCUUAUAUGGAGGACAAUUAAACUCAAAAUCACUAGUUAAAGAGAGAGCCAGAUGACUGUGGGCGGAGAACCAGUGCAUUACGUAACCUGAGCUCCAUUGAAGACAUCUGUGGGUGACUAAGACGCUACUGUUUUAUCCACAAACUCUUUCACAAACUUAGAAAUUAGUAUUUCGAUGUAAGUGCAUUUAAUUCUAGCUAGCACUGUUUAUAAAUCUUCAGUGAGUGUUCAUUUAUUGAUGAAUAAAGAAAUUUGUAAUUAACAGUAAGGGUUAAUAAGGGAACUGUUAAAAAGACAAAAAAGGAAACUAAGGUGUCAAAUGUAAUUACUCCGGUUGAUGUUGUGCAGAAGAGUUUAUGGUGGGAACACAGCCUGCCAUAGGAGGUAUCAGGAGACUUUUAGCUAAUCUCCUAGGGGUUCCAGCUAUGGACGAGAUUCUACAGAAAGCUGGACUAAAUUGAUAUGUGGGGACUGCUGAGAAUGAUCCAGAGCUGUUUUCUGCAGUUUGAGGACGAAUGUAGAGAGCAUUGAGUGAUACAUUUCCGACAAAUGCGCAUCCUGAUAAUAUUCUGAUUGAGCCACUCGGACUGAAAGAAAACCCGAGAGCUUAUGUUUCAAGAGCCCUUCAAGUGUGGAGAAAUGUUACAGGAAAUGAUCCGGAUUUGAAUCAAAUGGAACAGUCCAUUUUGCGAGCCAAAAUACAGAAGAGGUUGCCCCUACCAGUGAGGAGCAAACUGGCAGAGGUGGUUGGCCUUGGAAGUAUGGCAAAAGGUGUGAAUACAGAUCAUAUAGCCAACCAGGUGGGGAUGACAAGAAGAAGGAGAAGAAGCAGGCUUUGGUCAAAUAGAGUCAGUCUCUGCUAAAUCAGCUAUCAUCACAACAAUAGCUGAGUCAGGUUCAGCUCUAACUAUCUCAGCUAUCAUUGAUACCUCCAGCUGUUGCAUGCUCUGAUGAAGCACAUGGGUUAGCUUAUGUUGCAAAAGGGGAAGUUAGAAGUGAAAUCACAAAGGCGUCUGGGUUUUGGGCACCAUACUUACUUGAGGAGAUUGAUUAUGUCAUAGGCAGGUGCACAAUCUGUUGGAGAAAUAAUGUUCGGAAGGGUAUGAUAGUUCCUCCUGGUCACAUUCCGACUCCAAGGGGUCCUAUGCAUGAGUUGUUGUGGAUUUUUGUUGGCAUGAUAAAACCAGUUGAAGGGAAAAGAUAUUUAUUAGUGGUAGUAGCUUUAUCAGUACCUACAUUUUGUGUAAAGAAGUCAUAGGUAGAUAGGGACUUCCAGAUCUCCUCAGAUAAUGGGAAAGAGUUUGUGGAUAAGAUAGUAAGAAUGAUUUUGCAAAAUUGGGGAUUAGACAACAUCUUGGAGCAGUUUACCAUCCAAAAAGUCAAGGGAUUUGUGAAAAAAUGAAUGCUAGUUUGAAAAAUCGCAUUGCCAAAAUCUGUCAGCAGACAGGUUUAAAUUGGGUAGCAGCACUCCCAUUAACAUUAAUGACGAAGACGAGGAUGAGGUGGAAGAAGGUGAACUGGUGGAGGAAUAUUCUUUUUGAAUAUUUAAUCAUUUUAUAUUCAUUCUUAGUGGAUCUGGCAUUAUCUUAUGGAGUUGUGAUUCGCAUAUGAUGUGUCUGUUUUUCCCAAGGUUUUCUUUCCCUUUUAGAAAGAAAGGGGGUUUAGUGUUUGGAAAUCGGGAUGCGUUGAAGGGGUGCACACCUUCAUGGAUGGAUGAUAAAGGACUGAGAGACUCUGAACAAGAAGGUCUACACCCAACACCAUCAACACCACUUGGGAGUCGACAUGUGGAAGAGUUUCAGUCUGAUACAUUGAUGUGUUUAUAUGUCUUUGCUUGAAUACGUUGGGACCUCAGAUGUCUUAUGUUUUCUUUUCUUUUCUUUUCUUUUCACGAGUUAGGGAAAUGGGUUUUAGGUUUGUUAUCGGGUCCGAUAGGUCGACUAGCCCGCUAACGAACAUUAUUUUAAUUUGUUUAUUUUUGGGGCUCCAUAUGUAUUAGCUUAAGUCACCUUCAUACAUAUUGAAUUUUUCUUUUAACGUUGGACUGGAGUUCCAUAAAGGAGGUUGCUUGUGGCAGGAGAACCGUGAGAGAAUUUUUCCUGUCCAAAUUGUUUGAUGGAUAUUUCAGGAAAGUUGGCUGCCUGACAGGUUUUUUCGCUCUCACACUCCAGACAAUGUCCAGUUGUUAAACAAAUGUAAUGUGUUAUAUGUGUAGUCGCACUCAUGUUCAUCUUUUGUUUUUUGAGGCCCUGUAUAGCCACGAAGGGGGGAAUAUGAGGUGUAUAGACGAUCAACUACGAACAAAGACCGUUGUAUUAGUAGAUAUGGGGGAAUACAAUUAGACUACACCUUAGGCAGCUCCACAGCAUGGAUAUUUGAUUUGUCAUUCACUGCGCAGGUCAGAACUCAACAUAUAGAGGUUACGAUGCUAUGUCUGAAUGUUGACCUUUCGGGUGAAAGGUCAAAAGGGGGAAUUGUGGAAUUAUUAGCCUUAGUAUUGUUCAUAUUACUUUUUAAGAUGUAUUA